UACGUAGGGGGCAAGCGUUGUCCGGAAUCAUUGGGCGUAAAGCGCGUGUAGGCGGCCCGGUAAGUCCGCUGUGAAAGUCCAGGGCUCAACCCUGGGAUGCCGGUGGAUACUGUCGGGCUCGAGUCCGGAAGAGGAGUGUGGAAUUCCUGGUGUAGCGGUGAAAUGCGCAGAUAUCAGGAGGAACACCUAUGGCGAAGGCAGCACUCUGGGACGUGACUGACGCUGAGACGCGAAAGCGUGGGGAGCAAACAGG
rnacentral:rRNA from 1 species